CCUACGGGAGGCUGCAGUGAGGAAUAUUGGUCAAUGGACGAGAGUCUGAACCAGCCACGUCGCGUGAAGGAUGACUGCCCUAUGGGUUGUAAACUUCUUUUAUAAAGGAAUAAAACGAGGCACGUGUGCCUGUUUGCAUGUACUUUAUGAAUGAGGAUCGGCUAACUCCGUGCCAGCAGCCGCGGUAAUACGGAGGAUCCGAGCGUUAUCCGGAUUUAUUGGGUUUAAAGGGAGCGUAGAUGGGUUGUUAAGUCAGUUGUGAAAGUUUGCGGCUCAACCGUAAAAUUGCAAUUGAUACUGGCAGUCUUGAGUACAGUUGAGGUAGGCGGAAUUCGUGGUGUAGCGGUGAAAUGCUUAGAUAUCACGAAGAACCCCGAUUGCGAAGGCAGCUUACUAAACUGUGACUGACACUGAUGCUCGAAAGUGUGGGUAUCAAACAGGAUUAGAUACCCUGGUAGUC
rnacentral:rRNA from 1 species